ACAUGCAACGCAACAUUUUUCUGUUUGGUUUCCAGCCAGGGAGACGUCCGUGAAGGACUCGGACCUGGAACAAUUCAAGCAGCAGGCGAGCUGCCUCGGCUUCACCGGAGACCAACUUCAGCUACGACCCCAAAAAUGAUUUCUGUGCUGAAGGCGAGGGCUCUCAUCUGUCACUCUGAAGUCCAACAACAAAUAUUCCCAAGUCAGAGUGGAAAUAAAGACACAUGAAGUGACUCAAAGCA